GUUAAGCGUCCAACUUCGACUCAGGUCAUGGUCUCGCAGUUCGUGAGUCAGAGCUCUGCAUUGGGCUCUGUGCUAACAGCUCAGAGUCUGAAGCCUGGUUUGGAUUCUGUCUCCCUCUCUCUGUCCCUCACCUGCGCGCGCACGCACACACAUACACACACACACACACUCUCUCUCGAAAGUAAAUAAACAUUAAAAAAAAUUUAAAAGUAAUUACAUUUUUUAACUUUCUUUAUUGUAAGAAUACAUUAAACAAUGCACAUAACAUAUAGUACAUGUUAACCAACUAUUUAUGUUAUCACUGAUGCUACUGGUCAACAGUAGCUACUAGUAGUUAAGUUUUCAGGGAGUUAAAAGUUACGUGCCAAUUUUUCACUGCACAGGGUCAACACCCCUAACUCCUAUGUUGGUCAAGGGUCGGCUGUAUAUUACAAAGCAGUAGUCAUCAAAAUAGGAUGGUAUUGGCAUAAAAAAGAUACAUGAAUGGAACAGACUAGAAAGCCCAGAAAUAAAUCUGAUUAAGAAGAGAUAUUGGAUCUCUUUCUAAAAUUAAUUUUAUCAAUGUAAUAUAUGGCUGAGUGUCCGUAAAGGCAGGAAACAUAGUGUCAACUUAUUUUUAAGCAGUAUGUUAACAUUUUCGCAUAAUAUGUUCCACAUGUAUUUCAGUCUCCAGAUACCUUAUUAGGUAAAGUACCUCUAAAUCAAAAGCAAAGGGUCUAGUUGGUAAAAUGAAAAAAAGGAUAAUAAAUAUGUUGAUUUGCUUUGUAGUUUUUACACUUUUGUAUUCUUGUAUAGUUUUGUGCAGACUGGCAGUUGGACUCGUUGUUUUCAGUUAGAGUUAUGCUUCACUUGCAGUUAUGCUUCACUUGAAACCAUGUCAAGCAUGUCACUAAAAAAUGUAACUAACGUACUAUUUUUUAAACUUUGAAACUAAGUAUGCAUACAGUCUAAAAAGCCAAAUAUAAUAGUAAAAGGCUUAUUACAGUGGAUCCUCUCUCUAGUAAUCCCACUCUCCCACUUGAGAUUCUCCAACCCCAGAGGAAGCUGUUUUCAAAUUUCUGUUUAUUUUGGCAUUUACUCAUGUCUACAUGUGUAGAUAAUAUAUAAACAGCUAUCCUUCAAGUCAUCGAGUUUUAGUUAUUACCUAUUGGCCCCCUGUCAUGAAAAAUGAGGGCUUAGUGCUCAUGUGUGUGAUUAGUGUGUGAUCACACACGCUUUAGUGUGUGAUUUCCCUCUUUGCUUCUGCUCCCUUAUCCUUGCAAUGCACUUAGAGUACAAUUUUUGGAUAUAUUACUGUUUGGUAUUUACAUUAUUAUAUCCAAUCAAUUAUUUGCAGCUAAGCAUAGUAAUGCACUAUGAUUCUUUCUGAUGGGCUUUUUGUUUUUCCCAAAGUUAACACUUGCUUUGUUUUUACAUUUGCUUUAUUAUUUUUGUGGCUGUUGCAGUGCUGUGCUUGCUCAUAAGUGUUUGACAGCCUCCCCACACACACACACACAAAGCCCCAGUUUGUAUUAUUUGCAUUUCUUUGUGUUGUAUUCGAGUUUUCAUUUCAAAUGACCAGUGUGAGGUCAUUGAACAAGUUGCUGAGAAAAGAUGUACACAGUUGGUUUUCCUAUACCAUUGAGUUGUUACUUUCUCAUACCUGCUAACGGCCCACGUUCGGGUUUUGAAAUUAAGUUUUUCUCUUCUGUUACAUUUUUUAAAAAUUCCGUUUUGUAAAAGGACUUAUUUGCUCUGAAUCUCUUCUUUCGAACUUUGAGUGUUUUAAGAGGCCUUGAGGGCUUUUCUCUGUGUAUACUUCUACUUACAGAAGGCAGAGAUUUCAGAGCUCUGGCCAGAGAAGAUGAGGCAGAAGUUACACAAUCUCGUGGUGGCAUUUUGCUAGAGGAGGGACAAGGCUAUUGGCGAAUAGGAGUUAGGGUGAAGCUGUGGCCGUCUGCGAGGCUGACUGUCGGAGUUCUUUCUGAGGCUGGUUGCUUGAGCUGCUGGUCAGCUGGGGCCCUGCUCCACUUCCCUAACUGGCAUGACUACGUAUGUUUGGCGCUUCAGCAAUGCCUGGCACCAUGUAUGCCAAGCAAGGGCUGGGAUGGCAGCUUUUGGCCCGCCACUUGCAGGACUUGUCAUGGAAUUGAAAGGCGGCCUCCUCUGAAAGCUGGGGCCUCGACCUCAUCUCCAGGCCCUGCUCCUGCGCACCAGGGAGGUAUCUGAGUUAGGUCAGAGUUCUGAUUUCCUGCAGAAACUGAUGAGUGAGCCAUUCCCAUUGGCAUCUCUGAGUUACACAGGGCACCGCGGCGACAACUGGUGUUGGAAUCCCCUGUGGCAAUGCCGGCUUUUACUUGACAUGCCAUGGCCCGAGCGUGGGCUGGAAGCGUGCACCACCGUGCCUCAUGCAGCUGGUGCUGCUCUGAGCUUAGCAGCGUUUGAAGGUCCUUCUCGGGGGUCCUAUCAACUUGCCCGCCAAACGGCUUUUCCUUCUCGUGCAUUAGAUUCACUCAGAGGCAAGAUCAUGCAGCCUUCCAUUCUGUGAUAUGUCUUAUUAAAAGGCUUUACAAUUCUGGUUCAUUGAUGGUCUGCCUUUCUCCCCAGCUCCCCCAAUGUUCAGGGCUGAAAAAGACUUUUUUCUUGUCCCUUUAAAAGUUUCCUUGUUCGAGGGCACCCGGGUGGCUCAGUCGGUUGGGCGUCCGACUCUGGAUUUUGGCUCAGGUCAUAAUCUUGCAGUUUGUGGGACUGAGCCCCACGUCGGGCUCUGUGCUGUCGGCAUGGAGCCUGUUUGGUAUUCUUUCUCUUCCUCUCUCUGUCUGCCCUUUCCCUGCUUGCAUGCUCUCUCUCUCUCUCUCAAAAUAAAUAAAUAAACACUCAAAAAUGAUAAGUUUCCUUGUUCGUUUCAAUGGGAAUUGGGCACGGGUGUCAAAUGACUCGACUUAAAUCACUGUUUGAACCAGAAGUCCCACUAUGGCACCUCGAUUGCCAUCAUUCUGGGUAUUACGUACAGCAACAGCGCUGCCCCUUUGGACUGCAGAGGAGUCCUCGGAAAGUACCGUGAUCUGACAACUGAGGCUCGAGCAACUCAGGAUGUUCCUCUGCCGAUUGAUGGCCGCCAGAGCUGAGAAAACAGAAGUCCUCAGUGAAGAUCUGUUACAGGUAACAAAAUAAAA